rnacentral:lncRNA from 1 species
AAAAAAAAAAAAAGAAGAAGAAGUUAUUCAUCGCAAUGGGCUGUAUAGCUUGGCCCGUCUCAUUGUAACAAAUUCGUAAGAACUGCGCGAAACUAGAUUAGAAUUUUGUCCUAUGCAAAGCUAAGCCAUCUCCCAGAGCAGAGCACAGUCACAACUGGUAGCUGGUGAGCUAAAACGGGUCCUGAGCUAGGAGCCUACAAUGCAGAGAGGAGACAAACAGAAACACCUCUUGUA